rnacentral:snRNA from 1 species
AGACAUGAGGCCAGUUUGGAUGUGAUCUCUCACUCCAGCCAAAUCAUCAGCACUUAUUUGGCUGAUUUGGCUGGUUAGGAAGAGGUUCUCUUUUCUCUUAAAUACUCCGCAUGUACCCAACUUGCAGUCUCAGAGAUGAGGGCCACUGUUGACUGUUGGUGAUGAGUCUGCUCCUAAGCUCCCUUGUUUGCUUUUCCUCAAAAGCUCUCAGUUUCUGAAAGCAUAAGUUGGUCUAAUGCUAUGACAUGUUGGGUAGGACAUGCAGAGCCUGGGUGAAACAGAAAACACCUAUGUGUUU